ensembl:ncRNA lncRNA:CR44120 long non-coding RNA:CR44120
UAAUAGCGGAUAACAACAGUUGAGUAUUUUUUCAUCUGAAUGCAACUAGCUGCUCCAAACUUCCGUUAAUAGCUCCAUUAGCUGAUCGAAUGGCCAAGUAACCACUUACAUUGACAUAAUACAUUGUGAGGAUUACAAAAGCAACGAAGCUUUCUCUCCCACCUAAUCUUGCCAAAGCCCCCACACAUUUACAACACUCGCUCUUUUACUCUCUCUAUACGCAAUGGCAAGAUAAAUGGUUGGGAGAGGGAGCUUUUCGAGCGCAGUAUUAAGGGGUAUAUU